GCAUCUUGGGGGAGGGAUGAGAGGCCCUCAAUGCGUCCGCGCCGCCAUGUUGUCCCUUUGGGGUCACCUUAGGCGUCUCCCGGUCCCUCCCUGGGGUUUUCCGCGCACUCUCGGGGCCACCUCUGUUCGUUGUCACGUGAUUAUCCUCUUUGGGACCCGGCCUGGGCCUUGGGGGUCCCCCUUGCCGGCCCGAGGGCGGGUCACGGAACUCCUGGCUUCUCGUUCUGGCCUCCAAGGUCAGCGCUCGCCUGUCUGCUCCCGAGAUCGGGCAGGCAGAGAGCUGGGGAGCGCGGGGCUGGGGGGCGCGACCAUCCCCUCUUCAGCCCCGGGGCCCAUGGCAGGGGACCCAGCUUCUGAGAGGCCUGUCACUCUGUCCCCGCCACUUCGGUUGCAUUUUUUACAUCAAAAGGAACGUGGGGGAGAGGAGAGAAAGGGUCUCCUGCCCCGGGCCUCGGCUUUGGUGUCUGGGGUGAUAGAUCGACGCUCUGCUUUGAGUCUCGGGUGCUUCUUACUCCCUCUAACUUUGCAUCAAGUCUGGACACCCGUUGCCUUUCUUCCAAUAUAUAUGGGGAGUGGCCCUCAAGGGCAGCUGAGGAAUGGAAUGGCUGGCACACUAAUGGCCUGGGAAGAAGAAUGGGGGGUGGGGGAGAGUUGCUUUUUCCUUCCCCUUUCCAAACCUUCUUUAAUUUCCUUCCAGGCCUCCGUGUUCCUUUUCAACACUGAAUGUUGGAACAGACUGAGGUCUGUCCUAGGAAAAAAAUGGUUUUUCUUGUUUAUAGGUUUGGAUCGUGUUUUAUCAUCCCUUUCAGGGAACUGGUGUGUUGGGGACAGCUUCUGUUUGCCCUGCCUGACAUGGUCCAUCCAUCCCCUCAGGCUUCUGCACGGGAACACCAAAGCCAGGACCAAAAAAAUGUUCCAGCUUAAGUGCUAAUGCCAAGGGUUAGAUCUUGUUUAUGUGUUUGUUUUAAAUCAGUGGCUAAUUAAUGUCAAGCAAAUCUGUUCAAAAAGUCAGAGUCCUGGUUGGUUUCCAGUGACCAGAUCAAUUCCAUAUCUGAAAUUGGUCUUAGUAGAAUUGCUGCCAAAAACAGUUUAAUGUUUUAUCUGUAAUAUGUUGUUUCAAAGAGGAAUCUGGAAGUCUGGGUUUGGUCAUCUUUUUGUUGCUGUUCUCUUAUAUUUGAAACAUGCAUUCCAUUCAAACCUGUCGCUGUGUGAUGUACCAUGGACCAUGCGUUGCCUGCCUCUCUGACUUCCCGUUCUGGGAAUGCUCAGGAAUCUAGAUCCUGCUGGGCUAUGGACCCUAUGGGAGGGAGAAGGGGACGAAGGGUGGGUGAACAGGAUCGUUCCCCGAGAGGGAGUGACAUGUCUCUGGGAAAUAUAGAGGAAGUAAGAGGUCACCAGGGGAAAAGAGACUGUGAUUAGACUAAUGUUGUACACACAACAUUGUGUGUGUGUGUGUGUGUUUGCGUGUUUGCGUAUGCACGUGUUCGUGCUUGUGCACGUUUAAAUCUCUGAGGGUAAAAUUAACUGCAAAUUCAGAUUCUCACUUUAGGGUGCUGGCUCCUGAGUAGAUACAAGUUUGAAAAUAGAUGUCUAGCAAAGGCUCACAGCAAACCUUCUCCCUCACCCAACCCCUGUGUAAUAAACUGUUGCUGUCCCGCAGCGGAAACUCAAGAACCUUGUCCUCUCUGCCCGUUCCUUCAAUCAUAAUCUAAAUUCUCCACGGAGAGAGGUAACUGUGUCACAUAGCACCCCACACCUCUGCAAGUCAUGGUACCUGAACUCCCCUGGGGCUUACCUUCAACUGGUUAGGCUAAGAAACCUCCUCCUUGGGGCAGUCUCGCCUGUGGCUGCAGUCCCACACCUCUGUCCCAGGCCCAUCACAACUCAUCUGCUCUAUCCUUGGCCUUGUGGGGGCGAAGUCUUGGGGUGAUGGAGACACUUUAGGGAAAGGGGAGGCCUGUGGACAGUUAGCCCUGUGAACUAAGGGCUUUGCAAUAAAACUAGUCACUUCCAACGCCCAUUGCUGUCUAUCAGAAUAAAAUGUUUUAAUGGUAUCACUUCUGAAAACAUUUUAUAAACAAGAUGUGUUUGGACCGGACUUCUAGGCAUCACACAGGAAUAGAAAGUGAAUGCAUUCCUCUGUCUUCUCUGUUGCGUUGUGUUUGCUGCCAAAACAUGAGGGUUUGGGGAUGGGGGAAGUGGACAUUACACUCUCAAGCCCACCCAUGUGGGUGCAGCCCACCAGGGUAGUCCUUGCCUAGAAAUUUGUCACCUCACGGCAGCAUGCUCCGAACCCUGCUGAUGGAUGGAUGGAGGAAGACCCACAGAUGGGCUUUGGCAAGAUCACCUGGAAAGUCCUGGGGCUGCCAGCAGCUUCCUGCUGUUUAAAGAAGGCACAGGAGGCUAAGGGGGCCUGCUGUGUACAGAGCAGCCAGGUCCUUCCAUUCUGCUGCAGCUUGUCUCCCUGACCCCAGCUCCUUUAUAACUGGGCUGACAUUAGAGCAUCUGGGGCAGUGGGGCCCUGGGCACAUCCCUCGAAGGCUCUGAGGGGAGGGGCAGCCUUCAUUGAGAACACAUGUUGAAAUACGUUCAUGGUUCUGGGAUUUUAGUGUGGAAAACCACAGACACUCCCAGACUUGAGGCCUGCCAAGAGCUGGGCUUCAGAAGGGAGGUAUGUCCCUUGCCUGCUGAUGAGUCACCCUGGGGCAAGAGGAGACGUGCCUCACCUUCAGGCUGUGGUAGAAGCUGGAGCCACCCAGCCUAACUCGGUUUGUACAUCCCCAUUCCAGUUCUAUGAGUCCUGAUUGCCACUUGGAUGGCAGAAUGUUUCUAGUAUGUUAGGGUUCACUGGGACCUUAGCAGCCCUUUACAGAAGGGAACUGAUGGUGAGGGGUAGGGGGACCUGUCCAAUUUCCCUGGAUUGAUUGAUGGCAAGCCAAUACCAGAACUCAGGUCAGCACCUUCUACCCCCAUAAUUCUCUGAUGCUGAACGGAAGUUAUAGGUGCUUCUAGAGGGCUGGCGGUUGGGUGGAGAAACGCAAGGGGCUUGCUUAGGGCAGGGAAACAUGAUUAGGUUCAAGAGAGUGAAGUGCUGUGUGCUCCAGAAGUGUUUGUGACAGCUGUGACUAAGGGAUUUGAAAAAGUGGCAGAGAGAUUUAUGGCCUUCCAACUCCCUCCCUGGGUGUUGACCCAGGAAACAGGUGUAUAGUGACAGGGACACAUAAAGCCCCAGACAAGGCUGAACAGGCGGCAGGGCCAUUUGCUGAGGCAGUCAGCUGACCCCAUGUAAAAGGAGCCCUGACUCACUGAGGAGUGGGAGAGAGGAGUGUGGAAUCGAGCAGCCAGCCAGCCCGCCCACCCUGACAUGAUGGCAGGGCAGAGCCCAGGGACCUGUGCGCCCAUUCUGCAAUGGGCACAUCAGCCCUGUCUUAGAAGUAGGUGCUGAAGCCGCAAAAGAAGUGACAAGAGACAGCUUUUUGGUGCGCCUCCGCCAGCCCGCAGGGUCCAGGGACACUUGCGAGACAGGAGAGGUACUGGGUUUUUAUUUUUUGUCGAGGUGGUCCCUGCCCUCCAGGAGCUUACAAUCUAGCUGGGGAAACACAACUAAUGCACACUUAUACAGUCAGUACAGUUAGCAAUUACCACAAUAUUGACCACAAUUGCGUGAGACCAGGGGAAAGCAAGAUCAGUGAGGGGCUGGGGGCUCAGAGAAGGUGUUUUAGUAAAGAUGGGAUUCGUCUACGGGCCGAAGAGGUCCGAAUUGAGUGACACGUUUCUUUCGGGUGGGAUGCGUUUGGGAGGCAGUGAGGGGAAAGGGGGACUUGAG